GUUUUUUUAUUAUUUUGAGGUGUUAUAUUCUAUGUUAUUUUGUAACUCUACUUUUUCUGUCUUCUAUGGAACGUUCGGUGUCGGUGGCCUCUGCUAUCUGUCUGAAGCACCUAGCAAGUGUAUCAUUGUGCUACACUCAACCGAACCGGCUUUAGGUGAUAAAAUUUGAAACGUGAAGAAGUGACGGAACAUUUUCACAAUGUCUAUGAAUGAGGUAACUGAUCAUUUAAAAUUAAUUUGCACUGCUGAGUUACUCAGUUGUUCACUUGUUUGAUUGAUUGGUUUGUACAGUAGUUUGUAGGAAGUACAGCCAUGUUUUAAAGGUUAACUUUAAUUUGUGAUAUUUGACAACAAUGAUGGCUUCUACUCACCUUUAAUUAUUGAACUUUUUUUAUGUAGUCUUUGUGUGUAAAGUAUAUGAAUUUUUUAUUUACGA